AGCGAACGCUGGUGGCAUGCCUAACACAUGCAAGUCGAACGAGACCUUCGGGUCUAGUGGCGCACGGGUGCGUAACGCGUGGGAACCUGCCCUUAGGUUCGGAAUAACUCCCCGAAAGGGGUGCUAAUACCGGAUAAUGUCUUCGGACCAAAGAUUUAUCGCCUUUGGAUGGGCCCGCGUUGGAUUAGCUAGUUGGUAGGGUAAAAGCCUACCAAGGCGACGAUCCAUAGCUGGUCUGAGAGGAUGAUCAGCCACACUGGGACUGAGACACGGCCCAGACUCCUACGGGAGGCAGCAGUGGGGAAUAUUGGACAAUGGGCGAAAGCCUGAUCCAGCAAUGCCGCGUGAGUGAUGAAGGCCUUAGGGUUGUAAAGCUCUUUUACCCGGGAUGAUAAUGACAGUACCGGGAGAAUAAGCUCCGGCUAACUCCGUG
rnacentral:rRNA from 1 species